rnacentral:rRNA from 1 species
ACACGUGGGUAACCUGCCUUAUAGUGGGGGAUAGCCUUUCGAAAGGAAGAUUAACACCGCAUAAGAUUGUAGUAUCGCAUGAUAUAGCAAUUAAAGGAGCAAUCCGCUAUAAGAUGGACCCGCGUCGCAUUAGCUAGUUGGUGAGGUAAUGGCUCACCAAGGCGACGAUGCGUAGCCGACCUGAGAGGGUGAUCGGCCACAUUGGGACUGAGACACGGCCCAGACUCCUACGGGAGGCAGCAUG